ensembl:lncRNA novel transcript
CUCGCCCGCGCGUGUGUACGUGCGCCGGAGGCCUGGAGAGACCGGAGUUUAACGCCCAGUCUUCUUCCUAAGUUGGAGAAAUGGGAAACGAUUUGAAAGCUGCCAACCGGAGGUGAAAAUCUUGCCACUUGUGAAACUGAAGGAACAUCCCCAAGGCCUGGCUUCUCCUUUUAACAGAAGGUGCUCAGAGGAACUUUCCUCUUGCCCACUGCCCUCAUCCUCUAGCAAUUUUCAAAGAGCUUCUGAGGUGCUGAUCCUCCUAGCUAUAGUCUUCGUACUGCUGCCACAAAUUCUUCUGUAAGGAUUAGAAUGACAUAAAGGAGACAGAUCACUUUUGUCUCGGUGGUAGUAAAGCAACCUGUGCCUCUGGCUUUCAGGGGGAAGGGCUGGGCCGCUGUAAAUCUAGUUUUCCUUCCUCUCCUGGGCCAGCUGUGGAGGAGAGGGAGGGAGAGAAGGAGAAGAUAAUCAAGAUCAGCUGUAAAUCUAGUUUUCCUUCCUCUACUGGGCCAGGUGUGGAGGAGAGGGAGGGACAGAAGGAGAAGAUAAUCAAGGUCAGCCUUUCCUGACCCCUUGGUCUAAGCAGACUAGACCUUAUUGGAGAUAACACUUCUACUCAAACAGGGGUCCAUGUGGACCAAUGUAUUACCCCAGCCCCAUGCAGGUCUUGUCAGGUUUCUCUCAAGGAACAAAUAUUUAUCUAACCUAGCCCCUGUUCCAAGUACUACAGGAGAAAUAUCAUUGUCCCAAACUACACACACUCUAGUCUGACCUGUCUCCCACUCCAACUCCCCACAUCUUUCCACUGUAGCCUCUGGAACUUAGAAUCUUCUUCAGCAAAAUUCUCUUCGUUUUCGACUUCUCGAAAUAUUUCUUUAACGUUUUUGCUCUCGCUGAAAUCUACUUAUCCCUCCUUUAACCCCUCUCUCUUCCCUCUUGUUCAGUCUGCUCCUGAGAAGUUGAUGUGACUUGCAUGACUUGGAUUAAUAAAUUUGCAAAUACAACUGGGUAUGCUCACUCAGUUUGACCAUUUUCCUCUUAAGAGAGAACCGCCUGAAGGAAGCAGUCUUCCUCCUCCUUUGCAUCUCUGGGUAAAGUUUCCAUCCUCAUAGGAAGCUGUACCCAAGCUCUAUAUAUAGAGAGCCUAUAUAUAUAUAUAGCUCUAUUUAUCAUAUAUAUAAUUGGCUCUAUUUAAUUUAUAUAUAUAAAUUAUACACACACAUAAACAUACAUAUAUAUAAUAUCUCUUGACACCCUUUCCACUUAUUGCCACCCUAUUUUCCUUCUUCCCUUUAUGCCAAAAUCUUUCCAUUCCAUGUUGAACCUGUUCCACUUUGGCAAAUGACCUCCAUGGUGCUAAGCUGAUGGUCAAUUCUCAAUUGUCAUAUGAAUUGACUUUUCAGCAUAAAUUAACCCGGACACCACUCUCUAUUAUUUCUCUUUCUGCAUUACUGGCUGCUUUUUCUCACUCUCAUUGCUUGUUCCUCUUUGUCUUUUUGACCCCCAAAUUCUGAAGCAUCUUGGAUCUUAGUCAUUAAGCCUCUUCUCCUCUCAAUUUACAUGCACUGUACCUAAAGUGACCCAAUUCAGGCUCAUACAUUUUAGUAUUUCAUUAUUAAACACUAAUAACUUCCAAGUGUAUAUUUUUAACCAGGAUCUAUCCCCUGAAAUCCAGUCUGUCAAAUGCUCACUUUACAUCUCCACUUGAAUAUCUAAUUAUGCCUGAUUCAGCUUGAAGAUAGCAAGGAUAUUGUCACUGCCUCAGAUCCUAGGCAUAGUAUAGUUGCUGGUGCAUAGUAGAUGCACAAUAAACAUACAUUAAUGAAAUGAAUGGAUGUAUCUAGUAACAGUAAUCUGAUAGGUUCUUUUGUAUUUUGCAAUUGUAUUUUUUUUUGAGAUGAAGUCUUGCUCUGUCACCCAGGCUGGAGGGCAGUGGUGCAGUCUCUGCUCACUGCAACCUCUGCCUCCCAGGUUCAAGUGAUUCUCCUGCCUCAGCCUCCUGAAUAGCUGGGAUUACAGGCACGUGCCACCAUGCCUGGCCAAUUUUUGUAUUUUUAGUAGAGAUGUUGGCCAGGCUGGUCUCGAACUCGUGAUCCCAGGUCAUUCGCCCACCUUGGCCUCCCAAAAUGCUGGGAUUACAGGCAUGAGCCACUGCAUCCAGCUAUGUAUUUUGUAAUGGAUUUUUUUGCAUUAUCUUAUUUAAUUCUUACUAAUGACCCUAUAGUUAUAAUAGUUAUCUCAUUUACAUCAAUACAACAAUGAGGAAGGAGAGGAUCAGAAAGGUUGGGUCAACUUCCCAAUACAACCAACAUAGCCAAGAAGUGGCAGUGGUGGUUUGUACUCUAUCGACUGCAUUAGCUGGAACAAUGUUUCUCAGGAUCCUCUUGCCCGUAUGCAUGUAAGUGUAUGCAUGUAAGUACGGUUGGCCCAAAGACGAAUUCUUGCAAGAUUUGGGAAACAGAGUGAAACAGUAUCUAUUCCUCUCUCAAGGUCUUUGUAGUUUGCUGUGACAACACAUGCAGACACCUGGAGGGUUCUAGCAUGUCCUGGCCCUCCCCCACUUCACACCCAGAUCUUCCAAAUUUCCAGCACAGCUGAUCAACAGUAGCCACACACCCAUCACAAGGGCCUUAACAUGGAUCCAAAGAGGCAGUAGCCAGGCAAAGACAAAAGCUUUUCACCGAGUAUUCUUCCAGCUUUCUUUCAGGGUCCCCCUCCUGGAUGUGGCAGGCCUCCCAGAUUCCCCUGGAAGUUCUGACUUGCCCAUACACACAAGGACCUCAGGAAACCCAAUAGUGACUUUCCUCAGAUCUGUGAAUUCCUUCUUCUGGAAAAUAACCUUCUCAACAAUUGUGUAAGUUCUCAUAAUACAUCCCUGAUUCCAUUAUAUUCAUAAUGGUUCCACUUUCAUGAAAGAGUGGCUGGCAGAGCUCAAAUCCAAGACUUCUGGGUUCUUUUCACUAUUCUACAAGAAAUCCAACUUAGGUAGAUAAGAUCUUGAGACAAAUAGCUGCAUGUAAGUGAAAAACUGAAUGACAGUGUAUGAACUACUGAAGGAGAGAUUGACAUUCAAACCGGGCUCUUCAAGGACUAGCAGGAUAUCUACUAUAUGAAGGGUGAAGGAGUUUCUAUUCAGACACAAAGGGAAGAAAUGCUGAAACCCAUUAGGAAAAUUACUAGUAAUAAAAACAUCAUGUAUUGAAUUCCUGCUGUCUCUAACCAUAUUAAAAAUAGUCUUACCAUAGCUGACAAAACUUCCCUAUAAGGUAUGUAAGACACCAAUGUCCUAGUUAGGAAACUUGGCCAUGAUCGCACACCUUCUAAAUAUCAGAGUCUUGACUCAAAUAUGCCUGUGUCUGACUGUAAAGCCCUGUGAAAAAUUAUGCACAAAUGCCUCCUAGCAACAGUAUGAGUUUAAAAAAGCUAGAGUUCUCCCAUCAAGGUGCCUCUCAUUCUAUUUUCUCCCUCAUCUGCCAUCCUUCCACACACCUACCUCUCACCGUGCUCUCUGGGCAGUUAUGACUCAAGAUUGUUCGUGUCUAAUUACUGUUGCCAAGCAAACAUGAAGAAGGAAGGUUCAAGAAAUAGCAUAUUUCACAAUUUUUCUACUGUUAUUUGUUAGUCCUCAUUAGACUACUCAGAAUUUGUGUUACUGUAUAUUGGAAACAAAAUUAUGUCUAUCACCUUAACGUUUCUACGACUUGUAUUUUUCAAAUAUAAACUUAGUGAAUUAGACUAGGUCGUCUCCAAAAACCCAUCAUAAGAUUCAACAUGUUCUCUUUUGUGCUUUCUUUCUAGAUAAUGGAGUCCUUUAUGUUGUAAACAAGAAUAAAAAAGAA